AGAGGCGCGCGUCGUGCGUGUGCCGCGCGUGUCCGUGCGAUCCCCGCAGGCCCGCGGGUGCUCACAGCUGCCCCGGGGUGCGGGUAGGGCGCUGCUCUGUGUCGGGCACAAACCCAUGUUGUUCCCCCGGCUCCCGAUCACCCCCGCGCGUGCCCUGCGCCAGGCCCGGUGCUGGCACCCGCGUGGGUCUGUCCCUUCCCAGCCCAAAUCUGCGAUGUCUGCAGCGCGGAGCUCCCCACCCGCGGUGUCACUCGUUUCCUCUGCUGGAGGGGGACCAGAGGGUCCACCAAGGACAUCUUGGGGACACCCCGUCCUCCCUGUAUUCCUCCCCGAGAAGGUCCCCACAUGACACACGGUGUCCUCCAGCCUGCGCCGCAGCGAUGGAUUGAACUUUAGUCUCCGAGCAAUUAAGGUGACCUGAAACUGCACUUCAUUAAUGGUUGUUAUGCAAUAAAAACGAUAAAACUGCCCUUA